rnacentral:rRNA from 1 species
UACGUAGGGUGCGAGCGUUAAUCGGAAUUACUGGGCGUAAAGCGUGCGCAGGCGGUUCGCUAAGACAGAUGUGAAAUCCCCGGGCUCAACCUGGGAACUGCGUUUGUGACUGGCGGGCUGGAGUGCGGAAGAGGGAGGUGGAAUUCCACGUGUGGCAGUGAAAUGCGUAGAGAUGUGGGGGAACACCGAUGGCGAAGGCAGCCUCCUGGUCUAGCACUGACGCUCAUGCACGAAAGCGUGGGGAGCAAACAGG